AAAUCAGAUCUCCGAUUGGAUGAAUAUUUAUCAGUUACUGUGAUCCUGGACCGUGGAAGCUGUCGUCUUUGUACACUUUUGGAUUAGGAUGUAUUGUCCAUUUUGUGGUAAUACUUUGGGGAACAGUAGGUCAUUCUGCGGUUGCUGUGGAAAAUCAGUGCAGUUCCUACCACAAAGCCCAGCAGAAGGCAAUGAUGAAGGUGAAACAUCACAGGACAUCUGGAAUAUGGAUACAGAAUCAGAGCUAAUAAAAAAAUAUUUCAGUGAAGGACACACAUAUGAAGUAAUUUUGGAUUUGUUGAAGACCCACCAUGAUGUUCAUAUGAGUUUGAGAAGUUUGACAUAUCGCUUAAAUCAACUGGGACUAAGAAAACGAGGCAACUACUUAAACUUGCAUUAAGUGCAAGCUGUAAUUCGCAGUGAGCUAAGGGGACCUGGCCAGAUGUUUGGAUACAGGACAAUGUGGCAGGUUUUAAAACAAAAAUACAACUUAACUGUAAAAAGAAAGGAUGUAAUGACUCUGCUGCCUGAGAUGAACCCAGUGGGAAGCUUAAGAAGGAGAAGCAGGAGAUUUGUAAGAAGAGUCUAUCAUACCAUGGGGCCCAACUAUAUAUGGCAUGUUGAUGGUUACGACAAGUUGAAACCAUACGGCAUUUCUGGUAGUGGAUGUAUUGAUCGAUUUUCAAGGAAAAUUAUGUGGUUGAAAUGUGGGCCAACAAACAAUAAUCCUGCAGUUAUUGCUUUGAAUUAUAUGAACUGUGUGUCCGAGCAUAAUGUUGUACCCAUGCGGCUAAGGACAGACUGCGGCACAGAAAACGGGACAAUGUCUGCCAUCCAUUGUACUUUACGAUCAACCCAGACUGAUGACUUCUCAGGUGCUGCAAGUCAUGUAUAUGGACCUUCUACAGCAAACCAGCGAAUAUAAUCCUGGUCGUCACAUUUAAGAAAACAAAGGUCAGUUUUGGAUGGAGUUGCUGGAAG